GUUGCUUUUAACUUUUGGUGAUUUGCAUUCAUUUUUUAGUCUCCUUUCUUAACCGUACUUGAAUUGUGGACAGGCAGUGAAUCAAACUUUGGGUGUUCCUUAAAAGAUUUAAAUUUUGAGAAUAUAAUAUCUGGUCCAUGGCUUGCUUGGUCACUUGAGGAAGCAGUGGAGGAAUACAAUGGAGAUUCAUUUGGGAAAGUCAAGUAGUCCUUUAAAGAUCGAUCCAAGACCAAGAAGACGCUGUUGGAUAGGAGGCACUUUGCACUGGAGCAGAUCCACCAUUUGGGAGAUGGUUCUCUCCCGUAAGGCUUAGUUCUAAAUUUAUUUGGCGGAAGUACGCAAGCAAGCUUUUGAAUUCAAGAGUGGAGGUUAAAUUCUGAAUCUCUCUGAAAAUAGUACU